rnacentral:lncRNA from 10 species
UUGCCUGGAAGUUCAGGUUCCUUUGUUGGUUGGGCAUCUGAGAGAGGCUGUGGUGAGCGUUCGACAUCCCACCAGACACACAGCGUCUCCGAAGGAUCUUCUCGCACGUGUACAAUUCCCUGCAUUGUGAUUUCCGACUCUGUGGCAGAAGACAUGCAGCAACAUCUCUAUCACCCUCGUGGCAGGGUGUGGGUGUGUAACGCGGCUCUUCCCAGACCAGGGGCACCAGAUGGAUUUGUAAGCAGACUGAGGCCACAAGCCCUCCCCAGUGACACAGGCUAACACGUGCGGAGCCUUGGAUGACAAGGAAACUUGCUCUCGUGGAGACAGCAGAGAUGCCUCAGUCAACAGCAGGGAGGCAGGACACGCACAUUCUGACGGCACACCCUUCCCCGAUCUGCACCAGAUGAAACGCAGAGAAACUCCAGUAACUUCCAAAACGAUAGCUAACCAGGAACCAAGGAUUACCGCUACACCCGGCCCACCCGAAUACACCCUGAAUUCCCUCUGUGCAGAUCCCAGGACUUCUACGUUCUAUUUCUGGCAUUCUGGGAUUCAGCCCGUUGACAAACCUGCCCCAGGCCAGGCCCAGCCAGGCAGGUCCUGAGAACAGGGUGCCACUGUGCCUGCGGGCAGCCCGCCGUCAGCUGGGAGGGAUGGAGAAGCAGCAACUGCACCGGACAUCUGCCAGGCAGUGUCGACGGCCACAGGGCACGGGGGCCAGCCAGACGUUAUGAGACAGAAUCAGCACCCUGUUUAUUUGAAGCCACCUUUUCUCUCUAAAGGAUAACCAAUUUGGUCUAAGUUUCUUAGAUGAUAGAGUAAAAGGUGAAAACCCC